rnacentral:lncRNA from 1 species
UUUAUUUAUUCAUGAGAGACACAGAGAGAGAGAGAGAGAGGCACAGACACAGGCAGAGGGAGAAGCAGGCUCUGUGCAGGGAGCCCGAUGUGGGACUCGAUCCCACCUUUUUCUUUUUUUAAAUGAGAAAGCCAACUUAACUACAGCACAAAAAAAUUUGCAAAAUAGAAAAAAAUACAUGUAAAUUAAGCUCUACAACAUAAUCAUUGUUAUUGUUUUAAGGUAAUUAAUCCAGAUUUUCUUUUUUUCCCCAUACAUUUAAAAUAUAUAUAAAAGAUAUAUAUAUUAUUAUUAUUAUUAUUAUUAUUCAUGUUUCCUCUUCUCAUGCUAGUGUCAGAAUAAUAUAUCAAAGUGCCUUUCUCUAGAUCACCCUUUCCUACACAUUUUAGAACUUCUAGUCUCCUUAAAUUUCUUCCCAUCUUGUUUUGUUUUUGCCAGGAAAUAUCACAAGUGUAUUUAUAAAAUAAUCUUCUUGUUCCAGUUGGCUUCUAUCACUUUCUUCCUUACCGGUAUUGGUUUAUAAUUGUGAUAUCUUCUGAGAAUACUUAUGCCACUGUUCUUUCUAUUCUCGUGGCUUCUGAAGCCUGCCUCAGGCAUUAAUAAAGCUGAGAUGCUGCUGUGAUGUCCUUUAAAUAUACCUCUCCCAGGAACAAUUCCCUCUUACAGCUCAGAGAGUGUCUAUUUCAUAUUCCAAUGAACACCAACAGUAACUGUAGGUAGAGAUGUAAUGUCCUGGUCACCACCACAGUACUACACUCUUCUAAAUGUCAAUGUGUCCUGCCAGUGCCUUGAUAGAGGACUUCAUAAAUACUCCUGCUUUAUAAUAGCGUCUUUCCAUUUGGACUCAGGCACAAGUUUCUUCAGGAUAGAGUAGUUGAUAUUUCGAGUGACUUAACCCAUCAUGUAAAUGAAUUCUUGGUAGGUUAAGUAGGCAGUCCUAUUAUCAUGUAUCAGAUUUCAGUAUUUUAACAUGUGUAUAGAAUAGAUUUUCAAAUUUAGACCCUUGCUAAAUAUAGUUUUAAUCACGGUAUAUUAUCCUGAUUGUUUUUACUUAGCAUUCCAUAAUUAGCAUCUUUCAUAUGUCUGCAUUUGAAUGUAAUGUUCAUAAUUUUAAUUCUUCAGUAGACAUAUUUAAGAGGAUUCAAUGCAAAAAUAGGGGUAUCUGAUCCAAAGGAUUCUCUGUCCUGGUGUAGAAACAUUAUUUUGUGUGUAAGAUAGGGGAAAGGAGUAAUAUGAUAAAUAUUUUGGAGUUACUAUUCCACAAGUGAAUGAAAUUUAGUAGUACAGGUAGAAACAUGAGCCAGAAUCUUUAUCCAUCUUACUAUUAGACCACAAUUUCACGUUCCAAGUUUCUGACCAUGAUUCGAAUGUUUCCCAUGUGGCUUUCUCUUCAAGUAAAAUAACAUGUUUCAGUAGGUCUUGCCCACAACUUCCUUGUGUAGCUUGCUCACUUCAACAAAUAUUAUUUGAACUACAUGAUGCAUCAAGCAGUGUAUUAGAUGUUAGGGGUAUAAAGGAUGAAUAAGACAUGGUCCCUGAUCUGAGCCACACGCCUCUAGUUUCUCUGGAAACUGUAUAUCCACGUCCAUCACUUCUAUCUACUGAGUGUCCUGCGGACAAGGAAGAAGAAUCUAAUAGGAAGGGAGGACACAAUCAAAAGGAAUCAAUUAAAUAUUCUUAAGGGAAGAUCAUACAAAUGGGAACAACAGGAGAAUCAAAAAAGAUAAGUAGACCAAAAUUUUGUAUGAGUGCACUGACUGCCAUUCUAUGUAUAGAUGAUUUUAAGAUGCUUUUUUAAAUAUUUAUUUUAUACCCCAUCUAAAAUGCACACAAUAAAUGCUUUUUGUAAAAAUAUUCCUUUAAACUUGUGGAACAAAAAUCUCUGGCUUGAACUAAGAAGAUCCCCAUGCACCACCAAAGAGAGCUUCUAGAGCUUUCAAUUAAUCAAUCACAAGAAGCAUUUAAAGUCAAUUGUGGAGGGAGGGAUUGAAAUAAGAAUAAUUGCACAUUCACUUGAUUCAUCUGCACUAAUAGACUGAACGUUGUAUUAUUCCCUAAAUUUUCUCUAUGAAGCAGAGGAAUAAUGAUUUGUAUUUUUAAAACAAAUUUCUUAUGCCUAUAAACCCUGUUUUUUUUUUCUUUAUGCAUGUAAG